GACGAACGCUGGCGGCGUGCCUAAUACAUGCAAGUCGAACGCAGUGGGGACGGGUGAGUAACACGUGGGUAACCUCCCAUAUGAGGGGAUAACACUUGGCAACUGGUGCUAAACCGAUACUGAUGGAUGAACCCGCGGUGCAUUAGCUAGUUGGUGAGGUAACGGCUCACCAAGGCCACGAUGCAUAGCCGGCCUGAGAGGAUGAUGGGCCACACUGGGAUUGAGACACGGCCCAGACUCCUACGGGAGGCAGCAGUGGGGAAUCUUGGGCAAUGGGGGAAAGUCUGACCCAGCAACGCCGCGUGAAUGAAGAAGGUUUUCGGAUCGUAAAGCUCUGUUGGUAGAGAAGCGGUAUCUAAAGAAAAAGCCACGGCUAACUACGUGCCAGCAGCCGCGGUAAUAG
rnacentral:rRNA from 1 species